rnacentral:rRNA from 1 species
GAUGAACGCUGGCGGCGUGCUUAACACAUGCAAGUCGAGCGGUGAAGGCGGAGCUUGCUCUGCUGGAUCAGUGGCGAACGGGUGAGUAACACGUGAGCAAUCUGCCCCUGACUCUGGGAUAAGCUCUGGAAACUGCGGCUAAUACUGGAUACGAGCUGCGAAGGCAUCUUCAGCAGCUGGAAAGAACUUCGGUCAGGGAUGAGCUCGCGGCCUAUCAGCUUGUUGGUGGGGUAACGGCUAACCAAGGCGUCGACGGGUAGCCGGCCUGAGAGGGUGACCGGCCACACUGGGACUGAGACACGGCCCAGACUCCUACGGGAGGCAGCAGUGGGGAAUAUUGCACAAUGGGCGGAAGCCUGAUGCAGCAACGCCGCGUGAGGGACGACGGCCUUCGGGUUGUAAACCUCUUUUGGCAGGGAAGAAGCGAGAGUGACGGUAACUGCAGAAAAAGCGCCGGCUAACUACGUG